UACGUAGGGUGCAAGCGUUGUCCGGAUUUAUUGGGUUUAAAGGGUGCGCAGGCGGCCUAUUAAGUUAGUGGUGAAAGCGUCCGGCUUAACCGGAUACCCACCAUUGAUACUGGUAGGCUUGAGUAUGUCAGAGGAAGUUGGAAUGCGUGGUUUAGCGGUGAAAUGCAUAGAUAUCACGCAGAACACCGAUUGCGAAGGCAGAUUUCUAUGGCAAUACUGACGCUCAGGCACGAAAGCGUGGGUAGCGAACAGG
rnacentral:rRNA from 1 species